CAGAUGCCACUUGGCAUAUGUGAUGCUGUGUUCCCACUGGUUCCCUUUCCAGCUCUGGAGGAGCAUGACGGCAAUGAAGGCUGGGCACACUCGUGAUUCCCCCUUCAUCCUCCGCAAUGUUGACUUCAUGGUGACCUCCACAAACCUCCCGUUCGCAUGUCUGCAGUGCCCCAGGUUUGCAACGACACGCUUCCCUCCUCCAGAAGUUUCAUUCCUGUGGUGCCAAGGCUGGGAAACUUUAGCGAGCCAGGCUGUUCUGUAACUAACCUCAAUGUGGAAUCUGCCUAAGCCUUGAGUAAUGUAUUCCUUGCAUUAUUAAACACAGAUUAAAUAUAUAUGGAUAUUUAAA